GUCCACGCCGUAAACGAUGGGCACUAGGUGUUAGGGGUAUUGACCCCCUGAGUGCCGCAGCUAACGCAUUAAGUGCCCCGCCUGGGGACUACGGCCGCAAGGCUAAAACUCAAAGGAAUUGACGGGGGCCCGCACAAGCGGUGGAGCAUGUGGUUUAAUUCGACGCAACGCGAAGAACCUUACCUGGGCUAGACAACAUCGGACAGCCCCAGAAAUGGGGUCUCCCCGCAAGGGGCCGGUGGUUCAGGUGCUGCAUGGCUGUCGU
rnacentral:rRNA from 1 species